AGUGAACGCUGGCGGUAGGCCUAACACAUGCAAGUCGAACGGCAGCACAGUAAGAGCUUGCUCUUACGGGUGGCGAGUGGCGGACGGGUGAGGAAUACAUCGGAAUCUACUUUUUCGUGGGGGAUAACGUAGGGAAACUUACGCUAAUACCGCAUACGACCUACGGGUGAAAGCAGGGGAUCUUCGGACCUUACGCGAUUGAAUGAGCCGAUGUCGGAUUAGCUAGUUGGCGGGGUAAAGGCCCACCAAGGCGACGAUCCGUAGCUGGUCUGAGAGGAUGAUCAGCCACACUGGAACUGAGACACGGUCCAGACUCCUACGGGAGGCAGCAGUGGGGAAUAUUGGACAAUGGGCGCAAGCCUGAUCCAGCCAUACCGCGUGGGUGAAGAAGGCCUUCGGGUUGUAAAGCCCUUUUGUUGGGAAAGAAAAGCAGCAGGUUAAUACCCCGCUGUUCUGGCGGUACCCAAAGAAUAAGCACCGGCUAACUUCGUG
rnacentral:rRNA from 1 species